UACGUAGGGGGCAAGCGUUGUCCGGAAUUACUGGGCGUAAAGCGCGCGUAGGCGGUCCGCCAAGUCCGGCGUGAAAUCUCCAGGCUCAACUUGGAGGGGUCGUCGAAGACUGACGGACUAGGGUCUGGCAGAGGCAGGUAGAAUUCCCGGUGGAGCGGUGAAAUGCGUAGAGAUCGGGAGGAAUACCAGUGGCGAAGGCGGCCUGCUGGGCCGCGACCGACGCUGAGGUGCGAAAGCGUGGGGAGCGAACCGG
rnacentral:rRNA from 1 species